rnacentral:misc_RNA from 1 species
UAAUGACUGUUUGUUGCAUGCAGUAUUAAAUUUGUAGCUUUUGCUAUUUUUUUGUUGUGCUCUGAUUGUUCUUAUUAGAGCAUUUUGGUUUGCUUCACAUUUUAAAGCCCUGUUCUUGUG